rnacentral:piRNA from 1 species
AGCUUACCUGUAAUGACCCAC